rnacentral:rRNA from 1 species
CAGCCGCCACGGUAAUACGAGGGGGGCAAGCGUUGUUCGGAAUUAUUGGGCGUAAAGGGUGCGUAGGCGGCUUGACAAGUCUUGUGUGAAAUCUUCGGGCUCAACCCGAAGCCUGCACGAGAAACUACCGGGCUUGAGUAUUGGAGAGGUGAGUGGAAUUUCCGGUGUAGCGGUGAAAUGCGUAGAUAUCGGAAGGAACACCUGUGGCGAAAGCGGCUCACUGGACAAUAACUGACGCUGAUGCACGAAAGCUAGGGGAGCAAACAGGAUUAGAUACCCCCGUAGUCCCUGUCUCUUAUAC